rnacentral:rRNA from 1 species
AUUUUGGACAAUGGGCGAAAGCCUGAUCCAGCAAUGCCGCGUGCAGGAUGAAGGCCUUCGGGUUGUACACUGCUUUUGUACGGAACGAAAAAGCUCCUUCUAAUACAGGGUCCCCAUGACGGAACCGUAAGAAUAAGCACCGGCUAACUACGUGCCAGCAGACGCGGUAAUACGUAGGGUGCGAGCGUUAAUCGGAAUUACUGGGCGUAAAGCGUGCGCAGGCGGUUAUGUAAGACAGAUGUGAAAUCCCCGGGCUCAACCUGGGAACUGCAUUUGUGACUGCAUGGCUAGAGUACGGUAGAGGGAGAUGGAAUUCCGCGUGUAGCAGUGAAAUGCGUAGAUAUGCGGAGGAACACCGAUGGCGAAGGCAAUCCCCUGGACCUGUACUGACGCUCAUGCACGAAAGCGUGGGGAGCAAAC